ensembl:lncRNA
AUGGGGGCAGUGAUAAGGCCCAAGAUUUUCACCGUAUCCAUCCUCCUUUCUUUCUCUCUAGGACCCCUGAGUCCCAGCCUGCAGUGUCACAUACUGCCCCACUCCGCUGCCAACGUUACUGCUGCAGUAAUCCUUUACCCUCUUCCUCCUGUCUCUGUUAUCCACUCACCUUACUUCUCUUCAUUCAAGUUCAUAAGCCUGCAUUUUGGGUAGAGUUAAUUAGAAAUUAAUCAAAAUGAUUAACCUCUGCAUUCCUUCAGCCAAUGAAUCACUUUAAAAGAUGUCAGUGGAAAGCCCCAGGAUACCAUUUUAGGUAAGAUUUUUGUAGUUUAAAAUGCAGAGAAAGCCAAAACCCAGCAAUUUACUAAUCUAAAAUAUUGCCCUAGUUUGGGUACAGUAGCACUGGUAACACUCAUAGAUGUAUUUCAUUUUAUGCAAGAGGCAUUAACAACUUAAAUUUGUUACUAUAGUAAAAUUUAUUUUUCUGUUAUAUAAGGGUAUGUGGGAUCAUAUGUCUCUUUGGAGAUUCUUUGGAGACAUAAGCAGGGAUAAAUAAACUUAGCACAAGAUAUUUUUCA